GAUGAACGCUGGCGGCGUGCUUAACACAUGCAAGUCGAACGGAAAGGCCGAAGCUUGCUUCGGUACUCGAGUGGCGAACGGGUGAGUAACACGUGGGUGAUCUGCCCUGUACUUCGGGAUAAGCUUGGGAAACUGGGUCUAAUACCGGAUAUGACGAUCUCUUGGAUGGGGUUGUGGAAAGCUUUUGCGGUAUGGGAUGAGCUCGCGGCCUAUCAGCUUGUUGGUGGGGUAAUGGCCUACCAAGGCGUCGACGGGUAGCCGGCCUGAGAGGGUGUACGGCCACAUUGAGACUGAGAUACGGCCCAGACUCCUACGGGAGGCAGCAGUGGGGAAUAUUGCACAAUGGGCGCAAGCCUGAUGCAGCGACGCCGCGUGGGGGAUGACGGCCUUCGGGUUGUAAACUCCUUUCGCAAUCGACGAAGCCUUUUGGUGACGGUAGGUUGAGAAGAAGCACCGGCUAACUACGUG
rnacentral:rRNA from 1 species